rnacentral:tRNA from 1 species
GCUUGCAUAGCUCAGUUGGUUAGAGCAUACGACUGUUAAUCGUGAGGUCAAAGGUUCGAUCCCUUUUGCGAGCG